CAGUUUAGUAAAUAGUUUAGUUUUUCCUUUUGUUUCAUUUAUUAUGCAGUAUCCCAUCUGACGUUCUCCAGCUCAUGCGGUCUGUCACAUAUGUUUCAUACAAAUCUAGAUUGGGCAAAUGAAUGAGAAUCUGUUGGUAAUUCUAGUCCAUUCAUUAUGGUGUAUCCAACUGAUUUCUGAUUUUACUUGGCAAGACGUUGGUAAAGUUGGUAUCUACUACCCUUUCUAUAUCACUGUUACUGUUCCCACUGGAAGGCUAUUCCAGGUAUCUACUACCCUUUCCAUAUCACUGUUACUGCUCCCACU